CGAAAUCGGUGGGAGGCCCUAUUGAAAUUGAAAUGAUUAUUAUUAUUAUUAUUAUUAUUAUUUUUCUUAGCUUAAAUGAAUUGGCUUUUUGAGGGCUUUAAUGUGCUCAAAAAGUUGUAGGAGUUUGCAGUAAAUUCGAAGGCGGCGAAAAUUUACGUAUUCUGGAGUAUUUUGAAAAGGGUGUGGCAAAAUGGCUCAAGAGCGCCACCUACGGAAAAGCCCCUCAUUUAGCAUUCACCGAUCCUCAAAAAAAACAAAGACUAUUGUGUAUCAUGACUAGAUGCACAAAAAAGUCCAUCAGUGCAUUAUGAAUAACGCAACAGGAAGCCCGCCAGUUUGACUUUAGUGGCCAUUUUGGUCAUAUUCAAUAUUUUUUGUUUUAAGUACUCCUCCUACAGCUUUCAUCAAAUCAACUUACAAUUUAGACGAUCGUCAUCACAACAAAAUGGAGAUCUAAAGUUAUUGAAGGAUUAAGUUUUAGCAAAACCGUCUGACCGUGGUGUGGCCUCAAAGUUUGAUUAAACGCCAUCAAAACACGGGCUCCUGUAUCUUGGACAUAUUUUGUCCAAUCGAGUCCAAACUAUACACAUAAGACAAGAGUCGCGACCUGAAGACAUCGGUACAGAAAUCGUGACUUAAAAUCACAGCGUCCCCUGGUGGCAACAGCAAAUGUCUUGUUUUUCUAUGUGUUACAGUUUGAUUCACUACUCGUAGGGCCUUCAUUAAAUCAACGUAAAAAUUUGAUGCAUGUGUUCAAAACAAGAUGAAGAUCUAAAGUUAACGAAAUUGCAACUUUUCAUAAUACUGUGUGACCGUGGUGUGGCUUCCAGUUUGAGGUAUGAAAACAUCUAUAUCUGGCAGAUGUGCUGCAAUAUUUAGUCACUAGAUGGCAGUGUCAGACCAUAGUUUGUGUUAUCUAUGCAUUAACAGACUGUGUUUACAGGGUGGCCAACUUUAGAGGAGAAUUAAACCUUUUACAGCAUUGCUCAAACUUUGGUUUUAGUCUCAAUCGCUAAGUUCUUCCUUCAUGACAACUCUGAGGGGGGUAAAUUUGUUUUUAACUUCCUUGUUUAAGCGAUAUAGAUGUUUGAAAUUCACGUGACGCCACAGUGUAAGCUGUGCUGUGUGUUGUGAGUUCGGCUUUAACCAGGUACAAGUGAACGCCUCAUGAAAUGGCUUACACCCACAUACCCAGUAAAUUACACACUUUGAUGUUCUGCUCCUUCUCCUGACGGUCACGGUAACGAUGUCUGCGCCUCCGUUUCUGUGGAUGUCCAGCGUGAGACACAACUUGAAUCCAACCAGACUGAACACUGACUCCAGGGACGGACGAGCCUGAAGGACACAGCUGUGAUGACCAAUUGACCAUCUUUUGUCUCUUAUGGCAAAGCAGAAAUAUUAAACACUGGGUUCUUAUCUAAAGUGUAUCAAAUCAGAAAGCAAAAGAUACACAUUGUUGUUAUAAGUUUUUAUUAUUUUAACCAACCAUAAUGACGAUAGAAAUGAAUUCUUAUCCAUGCCACUUAGCAAUGACUGCCACCACCAAACAGUUGCAGGCCAUCUUUAUUUAAGGGAGGAAUUUAGAAGUGUUGUGUAGCUUCUGAUGAUGAUGCAGUCGUCCACGUGUUGACCACCAUGUUGCUGCUGACGACGUCAGGUGCUGCAGUUCCUCAUCUAUGAAGAGAAGAAACGCACUGUUAAAGAAUGUUUUGAGUUGUGUAUGAAGCACAACAGAUUUCAGAUAGAACCGCUGUA